GACGUAGGGUGCAAGCGUUGUCCGGAUUUAUUGGGCGUAAAGAGCUCGUAGGCGGCUUGUUGCGUCGACUGUGAAAACCCGCGGCUUAACCGCGGGCUUGCAGUUGAUACGGGCAGGCUAGAGUUCGGUAGGGGAGACUGGAAUUCCUGGUGUAGCGGUGAAAUGCGCAGAUAUCAGGAGGAACACCGGUGGCGAAGGCGGGUCUCUGGGCUGACACUGACGCUCAUGCACGAAAGCGUGGGGAGCAAACAGG
rnacentral:rRNA from 1 species